rnacentral:lncRNA from 1 species
AAACAUGCACUACAGGGCAAUAUAAUGUGUAACCUCAUUAACAUGGUCUCUGUCACUCUCUGGCCAUGCUAAGCAUUGAAAAGGAGUUUUAUCAGUUUGAAGGAAUUAAAAUCAAAUGGAACUAAUCUAUUCACUAAAGCCGGUCUCAUAUACUUUGAUCUCUAACUCUUUUGUGAAUUAAGGAGAACAAUUUUGCUUAACAUCAAGCACUUCAAUCAGAUAGUUAGACAGUCCUUGGUGGAAAUAUGUGCCAACUUCCAAGGGCAUAAAUCAAAGGAAUAAGAGGGAGCUGCUAUUCUUUUGCUGCAAAGGCCACUUGGCUCAGCUCAUAAGUGGCUGAGCUUACUGCAGUACCUUCGAGGUCUCAGUGCCGGGCGUUAUUAUUGAUCUGUCUGUGUAAAGUUUCUGCAGAGCGAUUCUGUGUAUGGAGCAUCUAUGUAUUCCUAAGGCGAGCUGGAGUCCAGACUGGACACGUAGCAUUUAUCUAUACCCUAAACCUUGAUUAUCGCAAUUCCACACUUGAAUAAUCAUCUGGGUUUUUUUUUCCUACUCUCUGCUUAUUGAUGUUCUCAGAUGUCCAGCUCUUGAUGCUCUUAAUUUGUAGUCAUGCGUUUGUGAUUGAUGGAAAUUUCAGCUUGUCGAAUUGGAAAGUGUCACAGGACUGAUGGGAAGCCGUCUGCGAAUUGCUAUUUCAAAUAUAGCUCACCAUGAUCUGAGCAUUCCUCCCUCUCCUCUCUCUCAGAGACUGUCUAUAGCCCUGGGCUGUGAGAGGCACCGUGUUUGUUCUCACAGAUGAGUCCCACUGAGAGAGUUAUUGGGCACCGGCCUUGUGCCCAACAAUGAGGCGAUUUUUCAAAAGAACUCACCCGAUGUGGAGAAGCCCGACGUCCAUCUAAGCUUGUAACAAACUGCACCUUUGUCGGACGCGGCCUCUGUCAGGCCGGGGCUUGGGGGACUGCCCUUGGGUUCAGGCUUUGGCGAACCUGUCAGCUUCAAAUGGGGUCUGCUUUAUUUCACCCCCUGACCUUAGGCCCGAAAAGAGCCACGCAGGAAAAACAGAGAUAUAUGAUACAUCAAGGCCCAGUGAAACUUCACGGCUGGGAAAUGAGGAAGCUGCA